CCCUUAGAUGUGCUGGGCCGCACGCGGGAUACAAUGACCCGUUCAGAAAGUAUAACCUGACCCGGAAGGGAGUGGGUAAUCUUUUUAAUGCGGGUCGUGCUAGGGAUCGAUCUUUGCAAUUAUAGAUCUUGAACGAGGAAUGCCUAGUAAGUGCAGCUCAUCAGGCUGUACUGAUUACGUCCCUGCCCUUUGUACACACCGCCCGUCGCUCCUACCGAUUGAGUGGUCCGGUGAACCUUCUGGAUUAAGCAGCAAUGCUUGAGAAGUUAGGUAAACCUUAUCACUUAGAGGAAGGAGAAGUCGUAACA
rnacentral:rRNA from 1 species